rnacentral:lncRNA from 1 species
AAAUUAUUAUUAUUUUUUUUAGAAAAAGGUGGCAAACAUGUUACCUACUUCGUUUAUUUUUUUUAUAAAUAAAUUUAGCUGAAAAUUUAAUCAAUUAAGAUUCGAACUUGGAAUCUCGAAUAUCAACCAUCAAAUUUUUUGCCAAUUGCGUUAAGGACAGUCGGUCGCAUCACAAAAUUGCUGCAUGUAGAAUCGACACCUCUACCAUCC